rnacentral:ncRNA from 1 species
GCCAUCGAGCGCCUCGAACUCGACUUUUCGAACUGCUUUUCCGCGAGGUGGAGCGAAUCCCAAAAAGUCGGUCUCAGUUCGGAUUGGGGUCUGCAACUCGACCCCAUGAAGUCGGAGUCGCUAGUAAUCNCAACCUCGAU